AAUAGAUACCCCGGUAGUCCAUGCCGUAAACGUUGGGCGCUAGAUGUGGGGACCAUUCCACGGUUUCCGUGUCGCAGCUAACGCAUUAAGCGCCCCGCCUGGGGAGUACGGCCGCAAGGCUAAAACUCAAAGGAAUUGACGGGGGCCCGCACAAGCGGCGGAGCAUGCGGAUUAAUUCGAUGCAACGCGAAGAACCUUACCAAGGCUUGACAUAUACGAGAACGCUCUAGAAAUAGAGAACUCUUUGGACACUCGUAUACAGGUGGUGCAUGGUUGUCGUCAGCUCGUGUCGUGAGAUGUUGGGUUAAGUCCCGCAACGAGCGCAACCCUCGUUCUAUGUUGCCAGCGGUUCGGCCGGGAACUCAUAGGAGACUGCCGGGGUCAACUCGGAGGGGGUGGGGAUGACGUCAAAUCAUCAUGCCCCUUAUGUCUUGGGCUCCACGCAUGCUACAAUGGCCGGUACAAAGGGCUGCAAUACCGUAAGGUGGAGCGAAUCCCAAAAAGCCGGUCUCAGUUCGGAUUGAGGUCUGCAACUCGACCU
rnacentral:rRNA from 1 species